UUUUUAUAUUGAAACUACUAAGUAAAUGCACUUUUUACAAUUAAAUCAAGAGACUUUAAUUGCAUUUAUGUAAAAGUUCAAAGUUUUGGGAUUACAUUACCAUGUUGUGUUGUAUUUAAAUGGUAAAGUUAUUUAAAACGCACUGAUUGUCCCAAAGUGCUUGCCGUACUUUCUCAGCACAUGCGCUGUAAGACCGGGGACAUGUGUCAUUUGAAUCCUGUGACUGUGAGAUGACAGAACCGCAUUUUUUCCCUUUCCUGUGCCAUCCUGCGAUGUUAUGGUUUUGAAUGUGGAGAUGCAAACAGUGGACUGAGACUCAAUCUACAAGGUAAACGCAGAAUUCACCCGCAUCACCACCGUUCCGCUGCUGCCUACCUUCAUGUCUCAACUGGAUCGCCAUUCGUCUCAGUUGAUGAAGGUUUUC